GCGGGCGUAGUUCAGCGGUAGAACACCGGACUGUGGCUCCGGCUGUCGUGGGUUCGAUCCCCACCGCCCGCCCCA
rnacentral:tRNA from 1 species